CACAUUAUAGAUAUUAGUAACACUAACUAACGCUGGUUGUUUAUUCGAGCUAAAACCAGAAGCAGAAGAACCACUUGUUGCUGACCCGUAAUAUGAAGUUUGAAAGUAUAACAUCAAUUUCUUAACGAUAACUUUCGUCGCCUUAACAAUUGGAACUGGCCGAGCUAAAGCCUUAUACACAAGCGCAAUAACCUCUCCUAGCUUUUGGCAAGGGGGAAGAUGAAAGCAACGGUGCAAGAAAAUAAACGGAUUGGGAAAGAAUUAUAUGACAGGCCAGUUCAUCUCCAUACUCACUGCGUAUUCUCGGCUAAUAUCAUAGUCUCCCCCACUUCUUAUUAAUAAAGUAAUCAUAGUCUCCCCCACUUCUUAUUAAUAAAGUAUUUAAUAUAAAUGGAUCUGGAUCCGCCCAAGCUAAGUUCAUUGUUUGCUUCUUUCUAGCCCUUGCUUUAAUCAUGGAAUUAGAUACACCUAUUAUAGAAAGAAGUCACUUAACUAUAAAUACUCUCCGGGACAACACACACCUCUUAUCUUAGCGCCAACCUCUUAUC
rnacentral:lncRNA from 1 species